GCGCGAAAACUUUACAAUGCUGGCAACAGCGAUAAGGGAACCUCGAGUGCCAGGUUACAAAUCUGGCUGUCGAGAUGCCUAAAAAGCAUUUCAUAGCAAGGGCCGGGCAAGACCGGUGCCAGCCGCCGCGGUAACACCGGCGGCUCGAGUGGUAACCGUUAUUAUUGGGUCUAAAGGGUCUGUAGCCGGCCGGAUAAGUCUCUUGAGAAAUCUGGCAGCUUAACUGUCAGGCUUUCAGGAGAUACUGUCUGGCUCGAGGCCGGGAGAGGUGAGAGGUACUUCAGGGGUAGGGGUGAAAUCUUGUAAUCCCUGAAGGACCACCAGUGGCGAAGGCGGCUCACCAGAACGGACCUGACGGCAAGGGACGAAAGCUAGGGGCACGAACCGG
rnacentral:rRNA from 1 species